AUUGAACGCUGGCGGCAGGCCUAACACAUGCAAGUCGAGCGGAGCGGCGGACGGGUGAGUAAUACCUAGGAAUAGGCAAGGUACUGGGGGAUAACGUUCGGAAAUGGACGCUAAUACCGCAUACUAUCAGAAGAGCCUAGGUCGGAUUAGCUAGUUGGUGAGGUAAUGGCUCACCAAGGCCACGAUCCGUAACUGGUCUGAGAGGAUGAUCAGUCACACUGGAACUGAGACACGGUCCAGACUCCUACGGGAGGCAGCAGUGGGGAAUAUUGGACAAUGGGCGAAAGCCUGAUCCAGCCAUGCCGCGUGUGGGAAGAAGGUCUUCGGAUUGUAAAGCACUUUAAGUUGGGAGGCGUUACCGACAGAAUAAGCACCGGCUAACUCUGUGCCAGCAGCCGCGGUAAUUC
rnacentral:rRNA from 1 species